rnacentral:rRNA from 1 species
AGCUACACGGCGACGUGAUGCUAAUCCCUAAAGCCUCUCUCAGUUCGGAUUGGAGUCUGCAACCCGACUCCAUGAAGCUGGAUUCGCUAGUAAUCGCGCAUCAGCCACGGCGCGGUGAAUACGUUCCCGGGCCUUGUACACACCGCCCGUCAAGCCAUGAGAGCCGGGGGUACCUGAAGUGCGUAACCGCAAGGAGCGCCCUAGGGUAAAACUGGUGAUUGGGGCUAAGUCGUAACAAGGUAUC